rnacentral:lncRNA from 1 species
AAUCACGGUCCAGUGGCCCAUCUCGAGGAGCGGCGCCGCUGAGCCCGGGAAACUGCGCUUGCAGUCCCUGCCCUCAAGAAGCUCACAUUCGAAUGGGAGAAAUGACCUAUGCCUGUGUACAUACACAAUCUAUACACUAUCUAUAAAUGCAAGCCGCCUUAUUUUUAUUCAAAGUCCCUCAAUUGCACCUGAGACUACAACUGCCCCUGAGACUACAACUGCCCCCUGGAUCAUUCCACCUCCCCCCAGGGAGCAGUAUUGCCGGCUUUGGGAAUCUAUGGUCUAGAAUGAUGAUCAACAAAACAUUGUGUCUGUAGUGCCUGCAGGAGUAAUUGCCAGGCUGCCUCUCCCAUGAUGUGACCAAGGACACUGGACUGGAAGCUUUGCUAUUCCCAAGGCUCUUGGAUUCUGGACUGUUUCCAUGAGGUCUGAGCAGAGAUGGUGGUCAGUGUGGUGGUGCUACUCUGACUCACCUGGCAACUUCAAAGGUCAGCUUCAAAUCCCACCUUCUUUGUGAAGCCUUGUCUACUUCUUCUAGUCCUCACUGAUUUGCCUUCUUGUUCUCAGUUCUAAUAGUAUGGUUCACAUCAGUCAAUUUAACUAUAUAUUCUCUUAUAUUGCUUUCAUUUAUUUCAAGAAUGGUAUUUUCGUCUACCAACUAGACUGUAAGCCUCUUGAGGUCAGGGCCUUGCUUUGUACAAUUGUCUGUAUGCUCCAUAAUGUAUAGCACAAGAUUGGCCUUAGCUUAAAAAGGUCUUCCACUGUAUCCCGGGCAGUCUCCAGUUGUCCUGAUCUACAUCUGGCCACUGGACCCAGAUGGCCCUGGAGGAAAAACUGAGCACAGUCUCAAAUUCACUCAAAUCCAAUUCACUUGCAAGUCAUGGAUUCAUCUUCCUGAUGUCAUGGUCCUCUUCGAGAACAAAGGACAAACCACACAAGCACAAGACUGAACAGAGAGUAGGAGAUCAAUAAAUGUUUA